GAAUAUUGCACAAUGGGCGCAAGCCUGAUGCAGCCAUGCCGCGUGUGUGAAGAAGGCCUUCGGGUUGUAAAGCACUUUCAGCGGGGAGGAAGGCGGUGAGGUUAAUAACCUCACCGAUUGACGUUACCCGCAGAAGAAGCACCGGCUAACUCCGUGCCAGCAGCCGCGGUAAUACGGAGGGUGCAAGCGUUAAUCGGAAUUACUGGGCGUAAAGCGCACGCAGGC
rnacentral:rRNA from 1 species